AAAUAGACAAACUCUAGGUUUUUAUGUCCAAAUUUGACUAUCAGUCUUAUAUGAAAUUUUUUUUAUAAUUCGUAUUUUCAUUGUUGUUAGAUGAUAAAACAUGAUUAAUAUUUUACGCGUAAUUGUCUUUUUAAUUUUUUUCAUAAUUUUUUUAAAUAAGACGGACGGUUAAAUAUUGGGCACGGAAAUCAGGGUUUGUCUUUUU
rfam:Oryza sativa (indica cultivar-group) chromosome 1, whole genome shotgun sequence.